GACGAACGCUGGCGGCGUGCUUAACACAUGCAAGUCGAACGGCAAGGCCCUGCUUUCGUGGGGUGCUCGAGUGGCGAAGGCGUGAGUAACACGUGAGCAGCCUGAUCUUGAUUUUGGGAUAACUUCAGGAAAGUGGGGUUACUAUCGGACCGGAGCCCAUGUUCCAUGGUAGGCAUUGGAACGUUUGGGCGGUUGGGGAUGGAUGAGCGGGUUAACAGUUUGUUGGUUGGGUAGUGGCUUACCAAGGCUUUGACGGGUAGCCGGCAGGGGAGGGUGACCGGCCACAAUGGUCCUGAGGUACGGCCCAGACUCCUACAGGAGGCAACAGGGGGGAAUAUUGCACAAUGGGCGGGAGCCUGAGGCAGCAACGCCGCGUGCGGGAUGACGGCCUGUGGGUUGAGAACCGCAUUCGCCUGAGACGAAGCGGUAGUGACGGUAAUGAAUAAAGAAGCACCGGCUAACUACGUG
rnacentral:rRNA from 1 species